UAGGGAAUUUUCCGCAAUGGGCGCAAGCCUGACGGAGCAACGCCGCGUGAGUGAAGACGGCCUUCGGGUUGUAAAUCUCUGUUCUUAGGGAAGAAGAUAUGACGGUACCUAAGGAGAAAGCCCCGGCUAACUACGUGCCAGCAGCCGCGGUAAUACGUAGGGGGCAAGCGUUGUCCGGAAUUAUUGGGCGUAAAGCGCGCGUAGGCGGCGCUUUAAGUUGGGGGUUAAAGGCAGUGGCUCAACCAUUGUACGCCCUCAAAACUGGAGCGCUUGAGUGCAGCAGAGGAAAGUGGAAUUCCCGGUGUAGCGGUGGAAUGCGUAGAGAUCGGGAGGAACACCAGUGGCGAAGGCGACUUUCUGGGCUGUAACUGACGCUGAGGUGCGAAAGCGUGGGGAGCAAACAG
rnacentral:rRNA from 1 species